rnacentral:rRNA from 2 species
GUUUGAUCCUGGCUCAGGAUGAACGCCGGCGGUGUGCCUAAUACAUGCAAGUCGAACGCGUUGGCCCAAUUGAUUGACGGUGCUUGCACCUGAUUGAUUUUGGUCGCCAACGAGUGGCGGACGGGUGAGUAACACGUAGGUAACCUGCCCAGAAGCGGGGGACAACAUUUGGAAACAGAUGCUAAUACCGCAUAACAGCGUUGUUCGCAUGAACAACGCUUAAAAGAUGGCUUCUCGCUAUCACUUCUGGAUGGACCUGCGGUGCAUUAGCUUGUUGGUGGGGUAACGGCCUACCAAGGCGAUGAUGCAUAGCCGAGUUGAGAGACUGAUCGGCCACAAUGGGACUGAGACACGGCCCAUACUCCUACGGGAGGCAGCAGUAGGGAAUCUUCCACAAUGGGCGCAAGCCUGAUGGAGCAACACCGCGUGAGUGAAGAAGGGUUUCGGCUCGUAAAGCUCUGUUGUUAAAGAAGAACACGUAUGAGAGUAACUGUUCAUACGUUGACGGUAUUUAACCAGAAAGUCACGGCUAACUACGUGCCAGCAGCCGCGG